GGCACUGUGGAGAAAUUGGUAAACUCAGGUGAUUCAAAAUCACCCGCCUAACGGCUUGGCGGUUCGAGUCCGCCCAGUGCUACCA
rnacentral:tRNA from 1 species